GUAAAAUUAUGAGAUGAAAAUGAAAAAAAUAAAAAAAAAAGAGGAAUAAUCUUGGCUGACACGUGUUCAUUGGGUAGACUUCGUCUUUACUUAAUUCACUUUCUCACUUAUGAUUUCUCUCGUUAACGAAACUCAUCCCCGAUACUACAAGGAAGAAGAGAACCCUAACCCUAGAUUUCGUCUAUCAAGAAGAUCAUGGCCAGCGAAGCCCAGGGCUCGCACAAGCACCGUCGGUCGUCCUCUUCCUCCGACGAGGAGAAGUCUUUGAAGCGUCACAAGCAUCGCCACCAUCACCGCAGCCACCACCGCCAUCGCCACAGCAGCCGAAAGCGCGGAGAGGAGACAAAAUCUGCCGUCGAUGAUGAUAGAAUUCCUCUUACUCCUCCCGUUGUGAUUGAGAAUUCCCGGUCCGAUGACGAUGUGGAAGAAGGGGAAAUUCUUGAUGAGGAGGGAGGUCGCACUGGCGCUGUUGAUGGAGUUGCGGAGAAGACAGCGGAGUCUGAUGUUGAGUCUGGUGAAAUUGAAGCCGUCGGAUAUCAAUCGGAUAAACGAAAUCUGGGAUAUGACAAUGACAAUGGCUCUCCUUAUUCUGAAGCAAGUAUGCUAGUAAAAGAGGCUAAAGGGAGCAUUGCUAGAAAUUCUAGAUCAUCGAAGGAUCAGGCUGCUGACAAGUUGGGUCCUAUGUUACGGGGAAAAGUAGAUGAAACUCAUCGAAGUAAGGCUAGUUUGCAUAGAGAUUUGACUAGUGAUCCUCGAGAUGAUCCUAGAGAUGAAUUAGUUGCCACACGUAAGUCGGGCAAUGGUGUUAAUGGAGCAUUGAAGUCCCGGUCUCAUAAAGAGGAAAGUAGACGAGGUAGAGAAUCUGGGUCCCCUUUGAAAAGGAGUGAUGAGAAAAAAGUAUUCUAUGAUGGUGUGAAUAUGGAUGUUGACCGAAAUAGCAAGACCAUGAAGAAUUCACCUUCACAUGAUAGCUGCCGUGAUGAAAUAUAUCGUAGAGGAAGAUCAAGGUCAUAUGACCGUGGAAGAGAGAGGUCUCGUUCUCGUAGUGUAAUGGAAGAGGAUGCCCUCUCUAAAUGGAGACACACUGAUAAAAGAGAUACUGCGUACACUUAUAAUGGUGAGAGGACUGGUCGAGGUCAAGAUGUUAAAGAACUUGAGAGAGAUGAUGACAGGGAACAAAGUACAGGUUAUAGUAGCAGAUAUGUUGGAGUGGAUGACAGGCGUCACAGCCGAGAGAGGAAGACUAGAGAGGGGAGUAGGGAGAGGGAGGUUGAAAGAGAUCGAAAAAGGGAGAAAGAAAGGGCAAGGAGCAGAGACAGAGAGAUAGACAGGGAUCGAAGAAGAGAGAAAGAACGAGAAAGAAAUAGAGAUGGGGACUUGGAAAGGGAUAGGAGAAGGGAUAGGGGAAGAGAUAGAAGUAGAGACAGAGACAUGGAGAGGGAAAAGCGAAGAGAAAGAGAUAGGAGCGGAAUUGUUGAUAGAGGUAGAGAUAGUGAGAGGGAAAGAGACAGGUACACUGAUAGGAUUAUGGAGCGGAAUCAGGAGAAGCGCGAUGAUGGGAAUAGAGAUAAGGGCAGGGACAAAUAUGAAAGUUUUGAAGAAAAUUAUGGUGAACGGGAUAGAUACAGACAUUCCAGGAGCUCUAGACAUGAUGAAAAGGAUUAUAUAAAAGACAAAGUUGAGAAAGUUGAUUCAGAAAUGGCCAACAGUUUAAAAAAUGGAGGUAACAACUCAUUUAAGAGAGAUGAAGAUGGACAAGACGACUAUGAAGAUGAGACCACACUGCAACUUGCUGAAGAAGAGGAAGAUCUCAACAGAAUUAAGGAGGAGAGUCGGAGACGAAGGCAAGCAAUCUUAGAAAAGUACAAGAUUCAGCCAUUACAGCAGCAAACUGAGUUGAAGGCUGAAACAGAUGUGGAGAAAGAUAAAGAGGCUGCAGAUCAUCCAGGUCCAUCAACAGCCCUUUCCAACAUUCGUCAAGAAAGUGUGGAUGGUAGAGCUAAUGGCACUGAUAUCUUUGGUGCUGAACUGUCAUUUACUCUGGGGAAAUCACCUCCCAAUGGAGUUGUUACAUCUGGUGGCAACUUUGUUGAUGGGGAACUUGGAGAGGGUUCUCCAAAGAGUGAGAGAUCAGAUGGAAUGUUUUGUGACGAUAUUUUCGGCGAGACGCCAACUGGAGUUCGAAAAACUGGCAAAGGUGGUGUGCGGGUUGAAAGGAGUGGUCUUCAUGAUAAUUGGGAUGAUGCUGAGGGAUACUACAGCUACAGAUUUGGAGAAUUACUUGAUGGUAGAUAUGAGAUUACUGCAGCCCAUGGCAAAGGUGUCUUUUCAACUGUAGUUAGAGCAAAAAAUGCUAAGGCUAGUAAUGGUGAACCAGAAGAAGUGGCAAUAAAAAUAAUACGCAGUAAUGAUACUAUGUACAAGGCUGGUCUGACAGAGCUGGUCAUAUUAAAGAAAUUAGUUGGUCAAGAUCCAGAUAAUAAGCGUCAUUGUGUUCGUUUUUUAUCAAAUUUCAAAUACCGAAAUCAUCUUUGUCUAGUUUUUGAAUCUCUUCAUAUGAAUCUGCGUGAGGUUUUAAAGAAGUUUGGACGCAAUAUUGGUCUCAAGCUGACUGCUGUUAGAGCCUAUGCCAAGCAGCUUUUUAUUGCUUUGAAGCAUCUAAAAAAUUGUGGUGUUCUUCAUUGUGAUAUCAAACCUGACAAUAUGCUGGUAAAUGAAGCAAAAAAUGUGCUGAAACUUUGUGAUUUUGGUAAUGCUAUGUUUGCUGGCAAAAAUGAAAUCACACCUUACCUUGUUAGCCGUUUUUAUCGUGCUCCUGAAAUUAUUCUUGGGCUGCCUUAUGAUCAUCCACUGGAUAUCUGGUCUGUAGGAUGCUGUUUAUAUGAGCUUUAUACAGGAAAGGUUCUUUUUCCAGGUGCUACAAAUAAUGACAUGCUACGACUUCACAUGGAAUUGAAAGGCCCUUUUCCGAAAAAGAUGCUACGGAAGGGAGGUUUUACUGAUCAACAUUUUGAUCAAGAUCUGAACUUUCAUGCUACAGAAGAGGAUCCCGUUACCAAAAAGACUAUCAAGCGAUUGAUUCUCAACAUAAAGCCAAAAGAUAUUGGGUCAAUCAUUUUGGGUUCUCCUGGUGAGGAUCCAAAGAUGUUGGCCGACUUUAAAGAUCUUCUUGAUAAAAUGUUUGUUUUGGAUCCAGAUAAGAGGUUGACUGUGUCACAGGCACUGAGCCAUCCAUUCAUCACUGGCAAGUGAAACCUGUUGCUGAUUUUCUCACUCAAGAUUCCUGUUCAGCUAGAUAUUUGUUGAUUAUGUCCUAAUUUAUGUUCAUAUCUAAUCAUUGGACAUUAUGUCUUCUCUAUGAUGGCAUGAGAGCUUGACACAGCUUGGGAUUACUGAAGUCAAAACGGUUGAUGUUUGGUUGAGGAGUACUCAUUUUGGCUGGUUCUUUCAGUGGAGUGUACUGUUUCUAUUGAUGUCUUCUGCUGCUUUUGGGCAACCCUUCAGUCCUUAGAUGCUUUAAAGAAGGCACGUGCAUUGGAGGCGUGUGGCUGCUGCAAGGAUGUUUGAGUUUAGUGGAUAUGGCCCCAUGUGCGUGCAACACUUUGUAAGUUUUUCAACCAUAAUUCUUCAUUCAUUAUUUUGAAUUGAAGUGUGAUGUGAAGUAGCAUAGAAAAGGUUCUUAAGUAUAUCCUACUGUGUGUAAUAGAUUUUAUUAUCGAUCUAGCAUGAGGAGAUAUAGAAAGCUAAGGUUUACAAACUGUGUAUUCAAUUUUUAGUAGGUGAUUUGGUGAGUAGAGAAAACCAGGAGGGAUAGAUAGAGUGGGUCAAACUCUUGGUUUACAUAUUUGAUCUUCAUAUAGACCUAUCUAGCAAUAUGUAUUUCUUUUUGCCUAUUAAGCUUCUAGGUUGCUCCCAGGGUAUUGGUGUAGCGGCAAGUCCUUGAGUUAGGUCUGACAUAGGCAGACUCCCAAGGUUAGAACCCCGGCAACUACAAAAAAUGUUCAGUUGUCUCCUAGGACCUUGGAUGUGUUGGGCCUGCUGGGUAUCCUUAUUUUUUUUUUUUGAAAAAAAGAGAGCCUACUAGGUUUACUCCCAUGGCGUCUGGGAUUCGAUUUAUUAUACGGGACCUACAUAGCAAUGAGCAACUUUUUAUAAAUUAAAAAACAAAAUUAGUGUUCAACUGAUCAUCAAGUAUUAAGAAAGGUAAGUAACUCAUGUAUUAUUCUUUUUAAAAAAGGGGAAACUCAUGUAUUAUUUAAGCAAGAUUGACAUAAACAUACAAAAUAAGUGAGCAGUGAGUCAUUUCUGUGGUUGUCAAUAGAUUAUGUACUUUACUGAGCAGGUUUUUUUUAUUUUUCUUUUUUGCUAUUUAAAUGAAACCUAAGUUGCCAAGUGUUUUUUUUUCUCAUCCCGUUGAAGGUAUAGGUAUUAGAGGGAGAUAUAAAUUAGAUGUGGUUAUAUGAUCAAAUCCGCCUUUUUAAGUGAAUAGCAUUGUAGUGAUUUCAUUUUAUCAAAUAAUCAGAAAAGAAUUUUAGCCUUGAAAAUAAAUAAUUAAGAAUCAGAAAUCUGACUUGAAGCUGAGUUACAUAGCUGAUGUAUAUAUUGUUAGUGGCUGCUAGGCUGGAUUUAUCUGCUGACUAUGAUCUUUACAAUUUAUAAUAAAAGAUGAUCUUGGGUGGAAAAGUUCUUAGGAAUUCAACAUUUAAGUGCAUUUCUUAAAGGUCGUGUAAUGCGGAGUCUCCCUUCUUUCUUUUAUGUGAUGAGUUUUUGUAGAUAUGGAUGUUCGUGUUUGAAAUUAUCGUUUUGCUGCUUACAUUUCUCAAAAUAAGUGACUAAGAAAUUCAUUCUUCAUAUGGGCUUGGGAAACUGGAAUCCCUCGUUUGUUUUCUAGAUGCACUUAAUAGGCUGGACUUAGUUUAGUAUAAUUUAGUUUUUAUUUCUUUUUCGAAAUUUGCUCGAGUUUGCCCCUUUUCUUUAAUGUGUACUUUUAUAAUAUAUGAAAGGAAAUAUGGUUAUAAGGCCAUCAUUCAUCACUAUUUUUUUUUUUCAAUUCUAACUACAAAACUAAAAAUUACACUAAAAUUUUGUUUAAUUAUUGUAUUAUUUUAUUAAUAUAAUAAGAAUAUUUUAAUAUUAAAUAUUUAUCAAAUCUAAUAAGUUAUAUUACUAAGUAUUAAAAUAUAUUAUUUAAUUAUUAAAAAAAUAUAUACCGUAGUCUAGACACGGUAGAGUUUUAUGAAAAUAGGUUGGCUUUCCCAGUGUGGAGCAUUUUGAGGGAAAAAUAACAACAUAUAGGUUUUUGCCGCCCCAUUGCAGAUGGCCUGUAAAGAGAGAUUUUAUUAGAUCUUGUAUUUUAAUACGUAUAUUGGUAUUUUGUCUUAAUUCGAAGUACUCUUAUUAUUUUAAUCAAUACCAAUGAUAAAUCAAAUUUCAGGUGGAGCGUAGUUACAAUUUUGGUACAAAAUAUUUCGAUUAGUUCUUUGAAAUAUAUUUUUUUCCUUAUACUUAACAAAAUUGUAAAUAAAUAAUAUGGUACUAAUUAUUAUUAUAUUUAUUUAU